CAGGAAUCUGUUGCUGCGUAUGACAUCUCUUGCAAGCUCCCAGAGAGAAUUGAUGGAGCAUACAGCUAGGGAAUAGGAUGCCAGAGAAGCACAGAGGAAGAAUCCAGGCAAUCACCAGGAUGGGAAGGUUCAGCGUCCACUGGAUAUGGGACAAGACCGCUUGGCAACCCUUGUGGAUUCUCCUUCUUCUAGAGGCGAAUUAUAGUUAUGGAUUUAUUGUCCCGGUGCAGCACUUCUACCAGCAACAGCAGCAGCUUUCUGACUCUCUUCGGUGACGGGUAUUCUUGGGUGGAUAAUACGGAUUACGUUGUUAUUGCUUAAGAAUACGCGUAGUCGAGGAGAGUACCGGCGGCGGGCAGGCAGGCAGGCAGCGCGACCGCCCCCAGCCCACCAGCUGGCUCCUCACCUCCUCUAGUUGCCAAGCCUCAGAGAUGUUUUUGUCUGUGUGUGUUCCUCACCCCUGGGCGCUCGUGCAAGCAGCCUUGCCUACCCGCACUGCCUCGGAAGAUGCCAGCCUGUC